rnacentral:piRNA from 1 species
UUGCAUUCUUAAACCCUCUUGGC